AAGCCGCGUUGUUUUGUAAAUGAAUAACAAUACCUUAACCCAUCUCGUUCCCACAUAUCAAUCUUCAUCCCUUUCCCUCGCGCACUGGGGCAGAGCCAAGGGGGCUGACGCAAAAAAAAAAUUGAAAUAAUUGAAAAUUUUGGAGAUAAUGACAAUGAUGAAGAUGUUCUCUUAACCCCAUCUCGUUCCCACAUAUCAGUCUUCAUCUCUUUCCCUCGCGCACUGGGACAGAGCCAAGGGGGUUGGCGCAAAAAAAUUGAAAUAAUUGAAAAUUUUGGAGGUAAUGACAACGAUGAAGAUGUUCUCUUCCAGACCUGCUUGUGCUUUAGUCUCAGUUUCAGUUUCGGAUCUCUCUUCCAUUUCCCUUUCAGCAAUUUUAUUUGUAAUUUAAGUGGACCAUACCUUGGGACCCUGUACUAAAGGACCAACAGUGAAAUGCCUAUUUGAUUGUUCUCUUGGUGCUACCGGUUAUUCAGAGACUUUAUGUGAGAGGGGGAUGACAAAAUCUGCCCAAGUAAUCGGUAAUAAUUUUUCAAAAGAAACAUAGCAAACAGGGAAAGAGACAGCAACACUGGGCCAAUUCUUCUUGUUCCAAAUCUGCUGAUUCAAAAGAUUAAAGAGCCAAGCAGAAAUUGAACAACAAACGAGAUAUAUUUUAGGCAAACAGCUUUCAUUUAAUUUAGGCAUAUAUUUGGAAUAGCUAGACCAGAAUAUCUGAUUCAUCUGGAUCGAUGGUGUCUGGUCCCUGUACUGUCAGUACUAAAACUUGUAAUUGUAGUUGGCUCUUAUAAAGAAUUGGAUAGCUCCACUUGUAAUUGGUAUAUGUAAACCUGUUGCCAUCAGGUCAUAAAAGUAGAAUGGGUGUGUGUUAAGACUCUAUUACUUGUAUUUAGUUCAAUAUUUAUUGUAAAUAUAUGCCUGCAAU